rnacentral:tRNA from 1 species
UAUAUAUUAGUGUAAGAGCACAAAAAAUUUUGAUUUUUUAAGGGGUGGUUGAAAUCCAUUAUAUAUAA